rnacentral:rRNA from 1 species
AGUGAACGCUGGCGGUAGGCCUAACACAUGCAAGUCGAACGGCAGCACAGUAAGAGCUUGCUCUUACGGGUGGCGAGUGGCGGACGGGUGAGGAAUACAUCGGAAUCUACUUUUUCGUGGGGGAUAACGUAGGGAAACUUACGCUAAUACCGCAUACGACCUACGGGUGAAAGCAGUGGAUCUUCGGACCUUGCGCGAUUGAAUGAGCCGAUGUCGGAUUAGCUAGUUGGCGGGGUAAAGGCCCACCAAGGCGACGAUCCGUAGCGGGUCUGAGAGGAUGAUCAGCCACACUGGAACUGAGACACGGUCCAGACUCCUACGGGAGGCAGCAGUGGGGAAUAUUGGACAAUGGGCGCAAGCCUGAUCCAGCCAUACCGCGUGGGUGAAGAAGGCCUUCGGGUUGUAAAGCCCUUUUGUUGGGAAAGAAAAGCAGCAGAUUAAUCCACCGCUGUUCUGACGGUACCCAAAGAAUAAGCACCGGCUAACUUCGUG